rnacentral:rRNA from 1 species
UACGGAGGGGGCAAGCGUUGUUCGGAAUUACUGGGCGUAAAGCGCACGUAGGCGGAAUGUUAAGUCAGGGGUGAAAUCCCGGGGCUCAACCCCGGAACUGCCUUUGAUACUGGCAUUCUCGAGUCCGGAAGAGGUGAGUGGAAUUCCGAGUGUAGAGGUGAAAUUCGUAGAUAUUCGGAGGAACACCAGUGGCGAAGGCGGCUCACUGGUCCGGUACUGACGCUGAGGUGCGAAAGCGUGGGGAGCAAACAGG